AGCGAACGCUGGCGGCAUGCUUAACACAUGCAAGUCGCACGGAGGGGGCGAACCCCUCCAGUGGCGGACGGGUGGAGUAACGCGUAGGUAUCUAUCCAUGGGUGGGGGAGUAACGAGUGGGAAACGUGCUGCUAAUACCGCAUGACACCUGAGGGUCAAAGGCGCAAGUCGCCUGUGGAGGAGCCUUCGUCCGAUUAGCUAGUUGGUGGGGUAAAGGCCUACCAAGGCGACGAUCGGUAGCUGGUCUGAGAGGAUGAUCAGCCACACUGGGACUGAGACACGGCCCAGACUCUACGGGAGGCAGCAGUGGGGAAUAUUNCGCAAUGGGCGAAAGCCUGACGCAGCCACGCCGCGUGAGCGAUGAAGGCCUCGGUCGUAA
rnacentral:rRNA from 1 species